UCUUAUACUUGCUUUUCCAAAUGUAUAUUAAUAGUCUUUUGUUUUAUCCUAACCAAGGAAAAAUUUUCUAUUUGUUGAGCUCGUGGAUAUGAUUGGAAAAGUUACGAGUAUUAUGUCAUGUGCGUUCUUAUGUUUGUUGUUGGAAAACAGGAUUUCAUAUUAUAAAAGGAUUAUAGUCUCUCUUCAGAAGUACUCAUUCUUAGGUAGAUGGUGGGAGC
rnacentral:lncRNA from 1 species